rnacentral:tRNA from 1 species
CAGCCAGUAGCUCACCGGGAUAGAGCACGAACCUUCUAAGUUCGGGGUAGGGGGUUCGAGUCCCUCCUGGCUGGCCA